rnacentral:sRNA from 1 species
ACACGAGAAGGGAGGUGAUCGGACAGAUGGUUUUCGUCCGGACGCGUGAGGUGACUGCGGGCUGACGCCCGCCGUCGCGCACAGCGCACAGGCGUCGACGGCGGUGCCGUCGGCCAAUUCCCAGCAGUCACCCGGUCCGUGGGCCGCCGAGUCGUCCGCUCGGCACCCGGGCGCCGCACGCGGCACCCGGGUCAGUGGCCCACGGACCGU